rnacentral:rRNA from 1 species
GCGAUAAGCGCCGGUAAGGUGAUAUGAACCGUUAUAACCGGCGAUACCCGAAUGGGGAAACCCAGUGUGAUUCGUCACACUAUCAUUAACUGAAUCCAUAGGUUAAUGAGGCGAACCGGGGGAACUGAAACAUCUAAGUACCCCGAGGAAAAGAAAUCAACCGAGAUUCCCCCAGUAGCGGCGAGCGAACGGGGAGGAGCCCAGAGCCUGAAUCAGCAUGUGUGUUAGUGGAAGCGUCUGGAAAGGCGCGCGAUACAGGGUGACAGCCCCGUACACAAAAGCGCAUGUGCUGUGAGCUCGAUGAGUAGGGCGGGACACGUGGUAUCCUGUCUGAAUAUGGGGGGACCAUCCUCCAAGGCUAAAUACUCCUGACUGACCGAUAGUGAACCAGUACCGUGAGGGAAAGGCGAAAAGAACCCCGGCGAGGGGAGUGAAAAAGAACCUGAAACCGUGUACGUACAAGCAGUGGGAGCACCCUUUGGGGUGUGAC